rnacentral:misc_RNA from 1 species
GAUGAAGAACGUAGCGAAAUGCGAUAAGUAAUGUGAAUUGCAGAAUUCAGUGAAUCAUCGAAUCUUUGAACGCACCUUGCGCUCCUUGGUAUUCCGAGGAGCAUGCCUGUUUGAGUGUCAUUAAAUUCUCAACCAUUAUCAACUUUUGCUGAUAAUGGCUUGGAUGUGGGGGUCUAUUUUGCUGGCUUCUCAGAUAGUCAGCUCCCCUUAAAUGCAUUAGCCGGUGCCCCGCGUGGACUGUCUAUUGGUGUGAUAAUUAUCUACGCUAUAGAAAUCUGCAAUCAUAUGGGUUUGCGCUGCUUCUAACAGUCUGUUGAUUCAGACAAUACAUGACAAUUUGACCUCAAAUCAGGUAGGACUACCCGCUGAACUUAAGCAUAUCAAUAAGCGGAGGA